ACAAUUUGGGGAGUCCGUGAAACGGGCUGAGAGGGAGCUGGAUGCUCCGACCCGGAGAACCUGAUUCGGAUCAUGCCGACGGAGGGAAGCGC
rnacentral:ncRNA from 1 species